GGGGAAUUAGGGUUUGAUUCCGGAGAAAAGGCCUGAGAGACGGCCAUUACUUCUAAGGAAGGCAGCAGGCGCGUAAAUUACCCCAAUCCUAAUACGGGGAGGUAGUGACAAGAAAUAUUGAUAUUGGACCCAAAGGGUACAAUGAUUGAAAUGAGAACAAUAUAAAAAACUUAACGACUAACAAUUGGAGGGCAAGUCUGGUGCCAGCAGCCGCGGUAAUUCCAGCUCCAAGAGUGUAUAUUAAAGUUGUUGCGGUUAAAAAGCUCGUAGUUGAAUUUCUGAAAAUAAUCUUGUGAUUGAUUUAACCGUCAUGAACAAAAAUUGUUUACAUACUUGAUAGAUGGAAACAUUUAUCUAAUGACUUUGAAAAAAUUAAGAGUAGUUCAAAAGACAUGAUUCACAUUUGAAUAAUACAGCAUGGGAUAAUAUAAUAUGACAUGCUGUAUUAUUCAAAUAGUGAAUCAUGCUUUGAACAAAUACAGCAUGGGAUAAUAUAAUAUGACAUUAG
rnacentral:rRNA from 1 species